rnacentral:rRNA from 1 species
GUCCUAGCCCUAAACUAUGGAUGCUUGGUGUAGCCGGUACCCAAUCCGGCUGUGCCGGAGCUAACGCGUUAAGCAUCCCGCCUGGUGAGUACGGUCGCAAGGCUGAAACUCAAGGGAAUUGACGGGGGCCCGCACAAGCGGUGGAGCAUGUGGUUCAAUUCGACGCAACGCGAAGAACCUUACCUGGGCUCGAAGCGCAGUGGAAUCCGGUGGAAACAUCGGCGCCCGCAAGGGUCGCUGCGGAGGUGCUGCAUGGCUGUCGU